GUACUGGAUUACGGGUGCAAAUCUAACUUCCCAUAUAGGAAGUCAGAUUUUGCUGAGAAGAUGCUACCGUUUGAACUCGAACAAGACAAUGCUUGCGUGAGGAAAUCCAUAAUCUACUAG
rnacentral:ncRNA from 2 species